rnacentral:tRNA from 1 species
GCCUGGCUGGCUCAGUCAGUACAGCAUAUAACUCUUGAUCUUAGGGUUGUGAGUUCGAGCCCCAUGUUGGGCA